GCGCCCGUAGCUCAGUGGAUAGAGCAUCGGUUUCCUAAACCGCAGGUCGGACGUUCGAGUCGUCUCGGGCGCGCCA
rnacentral:tRNA from 1 species